rnacentral:rRNA from 1 species
ACUCAAAUGAAUAGACGGGGGCCCGCACAAGCGGUGGAGCAUGUGGUUUAAUUCGAUGCAACGCGAAGAACCUUACCUACUCUUGACAUCCUGAGAACCUCAUGUAAUGUGAGGGUGCCGAAAGGAGCUCAGAGACAGGUGCUGCAUGGCUGUCGUCAGCUCGUGUCGUGAGAUGUUGGGUUAAGUCCCGUAACGAGCGCAACCCCUAUACUUAAUUGCCAUCAGGUAAAGCUGGGCACUUUAAGUAGACUGCUGGUGACAAACCAGAGGAAGGCGGGGACGACGUCAAGUCAUCAUGGCCCUUACGAGUAGGGCUACACACGUGCUACAAUGGGCGGUACAAAGGGUUGCGAAGCCGUGAGGUGGAGCUAAUCUCAUAAAGCCGCUCGUAGUCCGGAUUGCAGUCUGCAACUCGACUGCAUGAAGCUGGAAUCGCUAGUAAUCGCGAAUCAGAAUGUCGCGGUGAAUACGUUCCCGGGCCUUGCACACACCGCCCGU